GUCCGCACUGUAAACGAUGAUUACUCGCUGCUGGGAGGUAACUUUCAGUGGCUUAGCGAAAGCGAUAAGUAAUCCACCUGGGGAGUACGCCGGCAACGGUGAAACUCAAAGGAAUUGACGGGGGCCCGCACAAGCGGAGGAGCAUGUGGUUUAAUUCGAUGAUACGCGAGGAACCUUACCAGGGCUUGAAAGUUAGUGACCGGAUCUGAAAGGAUUCUUCCCGCAAGUGCACGAAACUAGGUGCUGCAUGGCUGUCGU
rnacentral:rRNA from 1 species